CCUACGGGAGGCAGCAGUGAGGAAUAUUGGUCAAUGGGCGGGAGCCUGAACCAGCCAAGCCGCGUGAGGGAAGAAGGUACAGCGUAUCGUAAACCUCUUUUGUCAGGGAACAAAGGCGGGGACUAGUCCCCGGAUGAGGGUACCUGAAGAAAAAGCAUCGGCUAACUCCGUGCCAGCAGCCGCGGUAAUACGGAGGAUGCGAGCGUUAUCCGGAUUUAUUGGGUUUAAAGGGUGCGCAGGCGGUCUGUUAAGUCAGCGGUCAAAGCCCGGGGCUCAACCCCGGCCCGCCGUUGAAACUGGCAGUCUCGAGUUGGAGAGAAGUAUGCGGAAUGCGCGGUGUAGCGGUGAAAUGCAUAGAUAUCGCGCAGAACUCCGAUUGCGAAGGCAGCAUGCCGGCUCCACACUGACGCUGAGGCACGAAAGCGUGGGUAUCGAACAGGAUUAGAUACCCUAGUAGUC
rnacentral:rRNA from 1 species